AGCCUCACUUCGUGUUCUUACCGGUUGGUUGGUCUGGUUGACUGUUUCUUCAAUUCCGUGGUUGUCAGAGUUUCAUGUAGUUUGAUUUUCUGGCACUUCUGGUUGUUUAUUGAGUUUACAUUGGUUGUUGUCCUUCUUUUGGUUUUGCAAGGAAGCAAAGGGUUUCUACCUACACCUCCAUCUUAGCCAGAACUGAAAAAGCCUUUCUUUAAGUUCAAACUAAUUGCUUUCAACUUGGAAUGGAAAUCUGAAGGACAAGAAGAAAUUAUGUAAAGAACAUGAAGAAAAAGAAUGUCAGUAACAACAGGAUGGGCUCUGGACUAUCGCAUUCAAUCCUUACAAUAACCCUGUGAGAUGAGAAAACCGAGGCUUUGAGAAAUAAAAGGUCAUCCUUAAACAAUCUACUUAUGUCAUCUCUGUCAGAUUCAAACAAAAUACAGAUUAGAGGGAACAAGCACAGGAUCAGGUACUAUGUGGGAAAAAAAGAAAAAGAAGGAAACUAAGCCAGACAUAGAGCAACAUGGCCUAUACAUCCGAGGUUCACUCAGACUCUGCUGAGGUUAUGAGCUGCAUUUCUCCUCUUUCUUCCCAUGGAGCUCAGGAGGCCCUGGAUGGCUAAGGUGCCAACCACCACAGGCAGAGGGAAAAAUUGAAGAGUAUUGGACGUAUGCCUGAAACAUCAACCGCCUGAUUCAGCUUAUGAGGCUUGCCUGCUGUAUAAAGGUGUUUUGUGUCUUCAUACGUAAAGGUGCCUAGAAGGUUUACAGUUGGAAGAUCUAGACAACUCGUGAUUAAUAAUGGUAACAUAAGGUCACCCCUGUCUCAGAAGAUUUAAAAGAGACAACGGGAGGGAGAGCCCCAAGUGUGACUUGCCUUCUCAGAGGGGCAAGGUGACCACAGGCUGUGGCCGACUGGAGAGCGCCAACCACCACGAGAGGCACCAGGCAGGGAGUCUGCGGGCAGAGGCAGGGGGCAGCAGCGUUGUAGAAUUCUUCCUCCUUUCACCGCACAAUGCCCCAGUCCGUGAGGCGCUGACUCGAAACUGGGAGCAUCCUGUUGAGAAACGGAAAAUUAAACCUAGAUCUGCAGAAAGUCCUUUGACCUUGGCUUGAAAGUCAGCUCAGUACUAUGACAAGGAAGACCUUUUCCAUGAAGAUUACGCUCUUAAAAGCCAUAUUACAUCUGCAUGGAGACUCUCAGUAAAACCACAUUCAGAAAAUGUGCAUCUUGGCUUUCUUUCAAUUGUAAAAUUAUUGUAUUUGGCUCUGGUUAUUCUGGACAUUAGAUGUCUUUGUAAGGGCUUCUUUCUGAAACUCCUUGUACAAAAUGUUAGAGGUUAUAAACUGGAUUAAUAGUGACGGUUAAGCAAAUCUGCCAUUACUGUGUGUGUCCAAUACUUGAUGAUUUUUGGAAAGAAUUCAAGGACAAGGCAGGAAAAAAAGGUUGCAUUCAAGUCAUACAGAAUGUUCAAGCUUUAGAACUGAUUAUAAAAACUAAUAACUUUUGAAGAAAUCUACCCAGAGUACCAAGAGAAUUUUUUAAGUUUUACUAAUUAAAUCCAAAAUUAAAGGGUAUUGUCCUAUAAUUUCUUGCCUAUGUUAGAGUUAUAAUAUUUGAAUUUUUCAAUAUCAAAGAACAUCACAGGACCUCCGUGUGUAUUCUAUAUAUAUUUCUAGGAUAAUUUGUGAACUGAUUUUUAAAGAAAAGCAAUUGAGGAGGAGAAAAAGUACUUUUCUAUACUUAAGUGACUUUCUGAGGGACAGCUGCCACAUAUGGAACACACACACUUCUUAAGGACCCUUGGGUCCCAGUGUUCCUUCAGGGAACUGAAACUCUGGAAACAUGGACUUCAUUAGCUUCUGUAAAACUAUUGAAAGGAUAUUUGAAAUGGUGUUUAAUACCUGCAAAGGCAGGAACAAUCAUUGAUUUAAAGUUUCACUGUAAAGACUGGUAAAUAACACUGAUUACCAGUCUCAUUCAAACAGAACAUAAUGAACAUGUGAUGGAAGGAGAAUAAUGAUCCAAAUUACUCUUAAUCUUAGAAUUGUGCCUAUUGAUUGGUCUAGAACUAACAGUGCUAAUCACAUGGUAAGAAAGCCAAAUGCUUGAGAAAGUCAUUAACUAGUACAAUGAAAUGGGUAUUCAUUGUACUAGUAGUGUUUUAUUGCAUUAAAGCCUCCAAACAACUCUGUGUUUAUGAAAAAUUCCAGUGUUAACCCAAGUCAAAUAACAUUCCUCUCCACUCCUCUGUACCUUGUAAAAGCUACUUAGGUACUCUUUAUAAUUCACCAAACAUUUACUGAAUAACUGCUGUAUGCCUGGCAAACAACAGAAUCAAACAAAUAAUUUAGCAUUCCAAAAAACAAUUGCUAAUUGCACAUUGGCUUAUUCCCAGUAAGCUGAAGAAGUAAUGACCUUCUCACAAUAGUAAAUUUACACUGUAGACCAACAUUCCUGAAACACUCUUGCAAAGCUUUAUGAAUAAAAUAUACAUAAGCAAUAAAUGAUGUUAAAGAGUGAGAGUAUUUAUUUUAGAAAUUGUAAUUUCUCAUCUCUAGGAAGAGCCUCAAAGGAUUUUGAAUUUGAAAUAGGCUUACUUCCCGUCAACUUUUCUUGAGGACCCUUGUAUCCAGUUCCAAGUUAAAUUUAUAAUACCUUGUUUUCAGUCCUUUGUGAGACCGUGAAUGUAUUCUUAAAUCCUGAUCUUGAGAAUUGAUCACCCUUAUUUUAAUUUAAAUGGUAACACUUAUGCAUUUGAUUAAUAGAACUAGAAACAUGAAAAAGUCAUGCUAUUCUUAAGAAAUGUGUUUGACUAAGAAGCUAGUCAGUGUUAAGUCUUGCCGGGUGGGGGCGGCAGAGAGCACUUUGCAAAGACACUAGUUAGCUGAAGACUUCAAGACCUGUUUGUUGCCAGGGAAUCCUCAGGGCACCCGGGAACUGGGCAAGAUCAAUCUGUUGUAGGGAAGUUAUCUGAAUAGAGAGGCUAAUAACAGGAAGCAUGAGCCAGGAGAAACAAAGAAAGGGAACAAGAAAGGGCUGAAUGCAAAGAGGAAAGGGCUUGGGCUUUGAAGUCACCGAAGCCUGACUUCAGACACUUACCAGAAAAGACCUAAUUUGUCAGGCUUCGUGCCUCUUGUGUGUAAAAUGAGUAUAAUGAUAUUAUAUUACCACCUGACAGAAUUAUUACAAGAUUAUAAGAUGAUGCUUUGUAAAGUGCUAGGCACAUUGCUUACCAGUAUACAGAAAGAGCUUAACAAAUGUUGCAAGCUGUCGUUAUUAUUUACUUCUGCUGCUGCUAGAGAGGCUGGCAAAGUGGAGCUGAGCACCAGCCUCUGGGAGGAAAAUGAAUGGAUACCUCAUAGAAGUCCAUGUCAGGGUGGGGAGGAGGUAUAGGAGGCAAAGCCAAGAGACCCAGGAUGGUAAAGACUUCUAAUUACACUUUGAAUUAUGGUGAUGGCUUUUUUGGACACUAAAAUCUUGCACACAAAUCUUUCCUCUAGAGAUACCCAUGUAUCCCCACCUUGUUUUAAAAAUACCUCCUGAAUCCAGUCAUAUGCAGUAGCUGCUCUGGAAAGCAAACCUGGUGUUACUUCUGAUUAAGAUCCAGUUAUGGAAAUAACUCAAGUACUCAUCAGUAGACAAGUGGAUAAAAAUGCAGCAUGUAAUACAAUGGAAUAUGACUUGGCCAUAAAAAGAAUGAAGUU